rnacentral:rRNA from 1 species
CAGUCACACGAGUUUGAUCAUGGCUCAGAACGAACGCUGGCGGCAGGCCUAACACAUACAAGUCGAACGCCCCGCAAGGGGAGUGGCAGACGGGUGAGUAACGCGUGGGAACCUACCUAGAGGUGCGGAAUAGCCCAGGGAAACUUGGAGUAAUACCGCAUAAGCCCGCAAGGGGAAAGAUUUAUCGCCUUUAGAUGGGCCCGCGUCUGAUUAGCUAGUUGGUGAGGUAAUGGCUCACCAAGGCGACGAUCAGUAGCUGGUUUGAGAGAAUGACCAGCCACACUGGGACUGAGACACGGCCCAGACUCCUACGGGAGGCAGCAGUGGGGAAUCUUGGACAAUGGGGGCAACCCUGAUCCAGCCAUGCCGCGUGAGUGACGAAGGCCUUAGGGUUGUAAAGCUCUUUUGGCGGGGACGAUAAUGACGGUACCCGCAGAAUAAGUCCCGGCUAACUUCGUG